CAGUCGCCGCGGGAAUACGUAGGGUGCGAGCGUUAAUCGGAAUUACUGGGCGUAAAGCGUGCGCAGGCGGUUAUAUAAGACAGAUGUGAAAUCCCCGGGCUCAACCUGGGACCUGCAUUUGUGACUGUAUAGCUAGAGUACGGUAGAGGGGGAUGGAAUUCCGCGUGUAGCAGUGAAAUGCGUAGAUAUGCGGAGGAACACCGAUGGCGAAGGCGGCAACCUGGUCCAUGACUGACGCUGAGGUGCGAAAGCGUGGGGAGCAAACAGGAUUAGAUACCCCAGUAGUCCCUGUCUCUUAUAC
rnacentral:rRNA from 1 species